rnacentral:rRNA from 1 species
AGAGUUUGAUCCUGGCUCAGAAUGAACGCUGGCGGCGUGCUUAACACAUGCAAGUCGCACGAGAACGCCUCAGCUUGCUGAGGCAAGUAAAGUGGCGCACGGGUGAGUAACGCGUGGGUAAUCUACCUCCGAAUUGGGGAUAACAUUGCGAAAGCGGUGCUAAUACCGAAUAAUAUCUCUGGGACCCCGGUCCUGGUGAUCGAAGGUGGCCUCUACAUGUAAGCUACCGCUUGGAGAUGAGCCCGCGUACCAUUAGCUAGUUGGUAGGGUAACGGCCCACCAAGGCUGCGAUGGUUAGCUGGUCUGAGAGGAUGAUCAGCCACACUGGAACUGACACACGGUCCAGACUCCUACGGGAGGCAGCAGUGAGGAAUUUUGCGCAAUGGGGGAAACCCUGACGCAGCAACGCCGCGUGAGUGAUGAAGGCCUUCGGGUCGUAAAGCUCUGUCAAGUGGGAAGAACCUGCUCUGUGAUAACACCAUGGGGCACCGACGGUACCACUGAAGGAAGCACCGGCUAACUCCGUGCCAGCAGCCGCGGUAAUACGGGGGGUGCUAGCGUUAUUCGGAAUCAUUGGGCGUAAAGGGCGCGUAGGCGGUCUUUUAAGUCAGAUGUGAAAGCCCUCGGCUUAACCGAGGAAGUGCAUUUGAUACUAAGAGACUUGAGUAUGGGAGAGGGAAGCGGAAUUCCUGGUGUAGCGGUGAAAUGCGUAGAUAUCAGGAGGAACACCGGUGGCGAAGGCGGCUUCCUGGACCAAUACUGACGCUGAGGCGCGAAGGCGUGGGGAGCAAACAGGAUUAGAUACCCUGGUAGUCCACGCAGUAAACGGUGAACACUAGGUGUAGCGGGUAUUGACCCCUGCUGUGCCGAAGCUAACGCAUUAAGUGUUCCGCCUGGGAAGUACGGCCGCAAGGUUAAAACUCAAAGGAAUUGACGG